rnacentral:rRNA from 1 species
GUGGGGAAUAUUGGACAAUGGGCGAAAGCCUGAUCCAGCCAUGCCGCGUGUGUGAAGAAGGUCUUCGGAUUGUAAAGCACUUUAAGUUGGGAGGAAGGGCAGUAAGUUAAUACCUUGCUGUUUUGACGUUACAAACAGAAUAAGCACCGGCUAACUUCGUGCCAGCAGCCGUGGUAAUACGAAGGGUGCAAGCGUUAAUCGGAAUUACUGGGCGUAAAGCGCGCGUAGGUGGUUUUGUAAGUUGGAGGUGAAAUCCCCGGGCUCAACCUGGGAACUGCCACCAAAACUGCAUGAAUAGAGUACGGUAGAGGGUAGUGGAAUUUCCUGUGUAGCGGUGAAAUGCGUAGAUAUAGGAAGGAACACCAGUGGCGAAGGCGACUACCUGGACUGAUACUGACACUGAGGUGCGAAAGCGUGGGGAGCAAACAGGAUUAGAUACCCGGGUAGUCC